rnacentral:tRNA from 1 species
GUUAUUUUGGCAGAGUAGUGUAUUGGAUUUAGAAACCAAAAAAGUAAAUUUUACAAAUAACA